GGUUACCCAGGGGCCCUUACAAUGCAAGGUCGGAACGAACUCUGGUAUUGAUUGGUGCUUGCAUCAUGAUUUACAUUUGAGUGAGUGGCGAACUGGUGAGUAACACGUGGGAAACCUGCCCAGAAGCGGGGGAUAACACCUGGAAACAGAUGCUAAUACCGCAUAACAACUUGGACCGCAUGGUCCGAGCUUGAAAGAUGGCUUCGGCUAUCACUUUUGGAUGGUCCCGCGGCGUAUUAGCUAGAUGGUGGGGUAACGGCUCACCAUGGCAAUGAUACGUAGCCGACCUGAGAGGGUAAUCGGCCACAUUGGGACUGAGACACGGCCCAAACUCCUACGGGAGGCAGCAGUAGGGAAUCUUCCACAAUGGACGAAAGUCUGAUGGAGCAACGCCGCGUGAGUGAAGAAGGGUUUCGGCUCGUAAAACUCUGUUGUUAAAGAAGAACAUAUCUGAGAGUAACUGUUCAGGUAUUGACGGUAUUUAACCAGAAAGCCACGGCUAACUACGUGCCAGCAGCCGCGGUAAUACGUAGGUGGCAAGCGUUGUCCGGAUUUAUUGGGGCGUAAAGCGAGCGCAGGCGGUUUUUUAAGUCUGAUGUGAAAGCCUUCGGCUCAACCGAAGAAGUGCAUCGGAAACUGGGAAACUUUGAGUGCAGAAGAGGACAGUGGAACUCCAUGUGUAGCGGUGAAAAUGCGUAGAUAUAUGGGAAGAACACCAGUGGCGAAGGGCGGCUGUCUGGUCUGUAACUGACGCUGAGGCUCGAAAGGUAUGGGGUAGCAAACAGGAUUAGAAUACCCCUGGGUAGUCCCAUACCCGGUAAAACGAUGAAUGCCUAAGUGGUUGGGAAGGGGUUUUCCAGCCCCCUUCAGGGCCUGGCGCCUAAACGCCAAUUAAGCAUUUCCCGCCCUGGGGGGAAGUACCGGCCCGCAAGGGCUUGGAACCUUCAAAAGGAAAUUGGAACGGGGGGGCCCCGCCGCACCAAAAACCGCGGCUGA
rnacentral:rRNA from 1 species